rnacentral:lncRNA from 1 species
GUGCACAACAUUCAUGUGUAAAGGGAAAAAGGCCACUUCAUUUCAGCUGCACUUCUCUGAGCACUGCUUCAGCAACCCCUCCGCGAGGAAGCCACCACCCUUCCUUGAGGAACCCUCAUCACAACUCCGCCUCUCAGCCCCUGGUUCAAGUCCCCACCUUGUGCGUUGGGAUGCUUAAGUUCAUAUAAAUGUCUGUGCACAGUCUCAUGACCCAGCU